UACAGAGGUCUCAAGCGUUGUUCGGAUUCAUUGGGCGUAAAGGGUGCGUAGGUGGCGCGCUAAGUCAGGUGUGAAAUUUCGGAGCUUAACUCCGAAACUGCAUUUGAUACUGGCGUGCUUGAGGACUGGAGAGGAGACUGGAAUUCAUGGUGUAGCAGUGAAAUGCGUAGAGAUCAUGAGGAAGACUAGUGGCGAAGGCGGGUCUCUGGACAGUUCCUGACACUGAGGCACGAAGGCCAGGGGAGCAAACGGG
rnacentral:rRNA from 1 species